GCGUGGGUAGUAUAGUGGUUAGUAUACGUCGUUGCCAACGAUGUGACCCGGGUUCGAUUCCCGGUCCGCGCA
rnacentral:tRNA from 1 species